rnacentral:rRNA from 1 species
GUGAAGCGGCAACAGCUCAAAUUUGAAAUCUGGCCCCCCGCGGGCCCGAGUUGUACUUUGGAGAGGACGCUUCUGGCGCGGCGCCGUCCGAGUUCCCUGGAACGGGACGCCGGAGAGGGUGAGAGCCCCGUACGGGCGGCCGCCUAGCCUCUGCGAAGCUCCUUCGACGAGUCGAGUAGUUUGGGAAUGCUGCUCAAAAUGGGAGGUAAAUUUCUUCUAAAGCUAAAUACCGGCCAGAGACCGAUAGCGCACAAGUAGAGUGAUCGAAAGAUGAAAAGCACUUUGAAAAGAGGGUCAAACAGUACGUGAAAUUGUUGAAAGGGAAGCGCCUGUGGCCAGACUUGCGCCCCGCGGACCACCCGGCGCCUCGCGCGCCGGGGCACGCCAGCGGGGCGCAGGCCAGCAUCGGCUCUCUCGGGGGGACAAAGGCCGCGGGAACGUAGCGCCCUCGCGGCGUAUUAUAGCCCGCGGCGCCAUGCCCCCGGGGGGGCCGAGGACCGCGCUCCGGCAAGGAUGCUGGCGUAAUGGCCACCGGCGACCCGUCUUGAAACACGGACCAAGGAGUCAAGCAUUGGGGCGAGUGUCUGGGUGGCAAGCCCGCACGCGGAAUGAAAGUGAACGCAGGUGGGAGCUUCGGCGCACCACCGACCGAUCCUGAUGUCCUCGGAUGGAUUUGAGUAGGAGCCCCGCCGCUUGGACCCGAAAGAUGGUGAACUAUGCCUGUAUAGGGUGAAGCCAGAGGAAACUCUGGUGGAGGCCCGCAGCGGUUCUGACGUG